UCAGUCCAUCAUUACUUUAAGACAUGAAGGUCAGUCCAUCAUUACUUUAAGACAUGAAGGUCAGUCCAUCAUUACUUUAAGACAUGAAGGUCAGUCCAUCAUUACUUUAAGACAUGAAGGUCAGUCCAUCAUUACUUUAAGACAUGAAGGUCAGUCCAUCAUUACUUUAAGACGUGAAGGUCAGUACAUCAUUACUUUAAGACAUGAAGGUCAGUACAUCAUUACUUUAAGACGUGAAGGUCAGUACAUCAUUACUUUAAGACGUGAAGGUCAGUCCAUCAUUACUUUAAGACAUGAAGGUCAGUACAUCAUUACUUUAAGACAUGAAGGUCAGUCCAUCAUUACUUUAAGACAUGAAGGUCAGUACAUCAUUACUUUAAGACAUGAAGGUCAGUCCAUCAUUACUUUAAGACAUGAAGGUCAGUACAUCAUUACUUUAAGACAUGAAGGUCAGUCCAUCAUUACUUUAAGACAUGAAGGUCAGUACAUCAUUACUUUAAGACAUGAAGGUCAGUCCAUCAUUACUUUAAGACAUGAAGGUCAGUCCAUCAUUACUUUAAGACAUGAAGGUCAGUCCAUCAUUACUUUAAGACAUGAAGGUCAGUCCAUCAUUACUUUAAGACAUGAAGGUCAGUCCAUCAUUACUUUAAGACAUGAAGGUCAGUCCAUCAUUACUUUAAGACAUGAAGGUCAGUCCAUCAUUACUUUAAGACAUGAAGGUCAGUACAUCAUUACUUUAAGACAUGAAGGUCAGUCCAUCAUUACUUUAAGACAUGAAGGUCAGUACAUCAUUACUUUAAGACAUGAAGGUCAGUCCAUCAUUACUUUAAGACAUGAAGGUCAGUCCAUCAUUACUUUAAGACA